UCGGGAAUUUUGCACAAUGGCCGAAAGGCUGAUGCAGCAACGCCGCGUGAGCGAAGAAGGCCCUCGGGUUGUAAAGCUCUGUUGCCUGCGAAGAAGGGCCCUGUCAGGAAAUGGGCGGGGUUUGACGGUAGCAGGCGAGGAAGCCCCGGCAAACUACGUGCCAGCAGCCGCGGUAAUACGUAGGGGGCGAGCGUUGUCCGGAAUUACUGGGCGUAAAGGGCGUGUAGGCGGCCUGUUAAGUCAGGGGUGAAAGACCGGGGCUCAACCCCGGGGGUGCCUCUGAAACUGGCGGGCUUGAGUGCUCUAGAGGGCAGUGGAAUUCCCGGUGUAGCAGUGAAAUGCGUAGAGAUCGGGAGGAACACCAGUGGCGAAGGCGGCUGCCUGGGGAGUCACUGACGCUGAGGCGCGAAAGCUAGGGGAGCAAACAGG
rnacentral:rRNA from 1 species